rnacentral:misc_RNA from 1 species
GAAAUGCGAUACUUGGUGUGAAUUGCAGAAUCCCGUGAACCAUCGAGUCUUUGAACGCAAGUUGCGCCCGAAGCCAUUAGGCCGAGGGCACGUCUGCCUGGGCGUCACACAACGUUGCCCCCCCCAACCCUCGCGGUCGAGGGGGCGGAAGAUGGCCUCCCGUGAGCUUCUCGCCUCGCGGUUGGCCCAAAAACGAGUCCUCGGCUGCGAUCGCCGCGGCAUUCGGUGGUUGUCGAAAAAUCGGUGCCCCGUCGCGCGCGCUUCUGCAGUUCACGAGCUCCUCAAAACGACCCCAACGCACCGCUAAACGCGGUGCUUCCGACGCGACCCCAGGUCAGGCGGGGCUACCCGCUGAGUUUAA